AACCAAUCAGGAGUGUGCACAAGCUGCUCACACACGCUGAGACCCUCGCCCUUCGUCCUGCCUGGAAAACCCCUUCCCUGAGAGCCUUUGUGGAUUUGGGGUCUUUGAGCCUGAGCUUCCUCGUUGGGCCCCAUCCUGGACACCUUGCAAUAAACGCUGCGCUUUGCUUCACCACAGCCCGCUGUUGAAUCCCGUGGCCAGCAAUCCCGUCUCAGUAAGGAGCAUCGGUCAACAGUUCUCUUUCACAUCUCACAAUGGACACAGCAGCCCUUCAGUCAGCUCUGCAGGGGACCACUGUGCGUCACACCCCUCUCCGGGCUUCCGUGAGAAUCUCCGGGCUGGCCUCCCCUUUCUCUCUGUGACAGGCCUCCCCGCAACUCCCAGCGGAGUGAGCCCUGGCAUUCUUUGGAGCUACGUCUCCCCACCUCCGUGGACGGUGGGGGUCCCAGUUCUCACUGCGGUGGCCAAUAGGCACAUGAAGAGAUGCUCAGCAUUGCUAAUUAUUAGAAAAAUGAAAACCAGAACAAGUGAGGUGCCACCUCACACCAGUCAGAAAACCCACAAAUAACAAGUGCUGGAGAGGGUAGAGAAAAAAGGGAGCCCUCCUGCACUGUUGGUGGGAAUGUAAACUGGUGCAGCCACUGUGGAAAACAGCAUGGAGCGUCCUCAAAAUACUGAAAAUAGACUUGCACACGAUCCAGCAAUCCCACUCCUGGAUAUGUAUCCCCAAACCUCGAACUUGAAAAGAUACACGCGCCCCUACGUUCACAGCAACACUGUUUCCAACAGGCAAGACAUGGAAGCAACCUAAUGUCCAUGGACACGUGAGUGGAUAAAGAAGGUGUGGAAAAGAUGACCACGUGUCCUACUCUGCCAUCUUGAAACAGAAAAUAUAACGGAAUACUACUCAGCCAUACAAAUGACAUAGUGCCAUUUGCAGCAACAGGGAUGGACCCAGAAGUCGUCAUACUAACCCUGCUGCCGAUGCUGUGGUGGUGCUGACUGGCUGUUCGUGCGCUGGUGGAAGGGACGCUUGGCUUACGGCCUCUGUCGCUGAUUCGGGAAAGGCUUCUUAUUUGAACAUUGUGAGGUCCGGAUGAGCAAAUAGUGUGUGAAUCCAGGAGAACAAGGCUGGGCACAAAUAAACCCUGUGUGAACACUGCCCUUGUAUAAGAACGUCUGCUCCCUGAAGGCAGAGCUGGAAGCUUAGCACCUGGCAUCUAAUAGUGCUUGGUGGAGAUUUUGGCUGAAUAGCAUACAACAAGUUCUCUUUAAAUUUUUUUUGAGGGAAUGGUGGAACACAGGAAUCUCUGAAUUGAGGUUUUGGAGCUGAUUCAGUGUGUGUUGAUGGGAAGGUCUAGGACACGACUGAGGGAGGAGGGGCCCAGGAGAGGGCUGUGCAUUCUGAAAACCCGAGACCAGGAGUUGACAGCAUCCUCUCUUUUGACGCCGAAGACCCUGAAAUGAAGGCAGGAGAGAACCUGGGAGUCAACGUCUUCUUGGAAGAGCCCGGUGAUCACAGCGAGGGGGAGGGGAGUGGGCGAUGUGGCCGCUGGGAGAAGUGAGGUGUGGAAAACCUGGGGAACGAGGGCCUCCCUCUCCCCGCUUUGGGCGACAGCAGCUCGGAGCUGGCGAUGCCUCCGGGGUCCGGGGGUGUCGUUUGCGCGGCUCAGCUAGCCGUCGAGGACUCAGCCCCGCCCAGCUCCUCGUCUCAGCUGCCCAGUUCAGCAUCUGGUCAGUUGCUGGCCGGGAGCGAGGCGGGACGCGCGGAGGGCGCACACUCACCGCUCUCGCGCAGCCGGGAGGACCCGGGGGCCGAGGCGCGGUCCCCAGGGCC
ensembl:lncRNA